GAACCUAAUAAGAGGUCCAGCCUGCCCAGUGACCCUGUUCAACGGCCGCGGUAUCCUAACCGUGCGAAGGUAGCGUAAUCACUUGUUCUUUAAUUGUGGACUAGUAUGAAUGGCACCACGAAGGUUAUACUGUCUCCUUUUUCUAAUCAGUGAAACUAAUCUCCCCGUGAAGAAGCGGGGAUAAGAAUAUAAGACGAGAAGACCCUAUGGAGCUUUAAACAAUAUAGCAAUUGCCAUAUAACCUAAAAUUUUCUGAAUCUUUAAUAUACUAAAGGUGAUAUGACUAUAAGUUUUUGGUUGGGGUGACCGCGGAGCAUAACAUAACCUCCAUGUUGAAAGAAUUUUAAGCCAAGACCCACCCGUCUAAGCAUCAAUUUAUUGACAUCCAUUGACCCAAUAUAUUUGACCAACGAACCAAGUUACCCUAGGGAUAACAGCGCAAUCCACUUCAAGAGCUCCUAUCGACAAGUGGGUUUACGACCUCGAUGUUGGAUCAGGGUAUCCCAGUGGUGCAGCCGCUACUAAAGGUUCGUUUGUUCAACGAUUAAAACCCUACGUGAUCUGAGUUCA
rnacentral:rRNA from 1 species